AAUGUUACAUUUCAAAAAUGUAAAAUAUUCAUUAAUAUAAUAUAUAUAAUAUAGAGCAUAGGAGGCUAGAUGAAACUUUACAGGCUGACCGUAACUUACAUUGAACGUAAGUUAGGCGGACCCUAUUUAAUAUACAACCAAAUCAUACAACCUAAUACUUUCGUAAACAAUUGAUGUAUCGAAGAUGAAUAUGUAGUCCAAUGAAAGCAACCUUAAGUAAUGUGUAAUAGUAAUAACGUUAUUUCAAAUUAAACUUAAACAACUUAUAUCAAUAAAGGGAACAGCCCUGACUGGCCAUACGGAAUGGGGAACCAUUGAGUCUGUCCAUCAUGAAAUGUUAAUGUAUUCGAUAAUUGUUUCAAUUAUCGGAAAUGUAAAGAGUUAGAUUGUGAGAAGUUAAUAAGAACCACGAAAUGGAUUAUGAGGCAAGUUUAUAAUUAAAUAAUGUAUUCGUUAAGUGUACAAAUUCAUGAAUAAUUUAUUGUACUAAAUAUGUCAACGUUAAAAUAUCCGGGAAUAUUUUAGUUUAACCAAAAAAUUAUUAAUAACAGGAUUACAAUUAUUGUGAUAUUGUAAUGGUGGAUAUGAUCAAAGAUGGUAAAAGAUUAUUGUUAAUACUACAAUAAUGUAAUAAUCCAAUUUCACUAAGAUGUUAAUAACUUUGUAAAAUCAUCAAUCAUAAUAAGCAAUACGGUAAACUGUCGUUGGUUAAAGAUUUAAAAAUUGAUUGUAAUAAUGAUAGUAAUUCUCCGGUUAAUAUAUAAAGUGAAAACAUUACUAAUUAUUGUAAUAGUUAAGUAUUCCAAAUAACUAUUGUAACUCCACACAAUGCGUACUAUGAGUUAUUUGUACCAGUAAUAAAAGACGGUUGAACAAUUUAUUUGGGCAAGUAUGUAAAUCUUUCCACCUAUUGAAUGAUGAAGACAUGCGGGACAUUUAAAUGUAAGUAUUGAAUUAGGAAAAUAUUAAGGUCCAAAUAAAGUAAGCUUUAAGAGUUGCGAGGUUAAAAAAGGAAUGGUAAACAAAAUAAAACCAUUCGAAGACAAUGCAAAACGGUAAAAUAAAUAGUAAUUUAUUUGCUUAUGACCACAACAUGAUAAAUAGUUCGUACAAUACCAAGAUUAAAUGAGAAAUCCAAUGUUAAUUAAGUAAAACGUUAUGUUUGAAACUUCAACGUUCACGAUCACAAUAUACAAAACCGUUUAAAUAUUUGGAAUAUAAUAACCUACAAGUGCAUAACUAUAAUAUUUAAUAAGUUAGAUUUGGAAUCUUUAAAAAAAGCUAGGAUCUGAAUAACGAUAUUUGAAAGCACACCACAAUUAAGAAGUACAUGCAGUGUAUUUUUGUAGGUCAGUAGGGGAAAAAAUUCGCACUUGCCGACAUAAACACAAUACGCUAAUGUGCCCGAAUUUUAUGAGGAAUAAAAUUUUCAUAGGUGUAACGUACAGAUUAUAAUAACAUAAGAUUUGCCUUGUAACGGUGGUGACACAUAUAAUUACAUUAAUGAUUGUGAGGGCAGUGGUAUUUAAAAAUACAACAGACUGUCAAAAUGGCCUGCCACAAAUUGAAGUGUAGUUAGCAACGAACAUCUAACGACAAUUACGGAAUGGGAUAAGCCAAGCUGGCUGGAAAAAGAGUUAGAAUCAUAAAAAAACGUGAUACUUCAUCAUCUUCAAAGGUGAAAGGGCGGGAAAAUAGUAAUAAGAUGGCGUGUACAGCAAAAAUGGCAAAUUCAACGAAGCUUCGUAGAACACCCUGUAGCCUGGGGGAGAGGCCCAAGAAGCAACACUGCAGAUUGUAUGACCUCAUUCACAACAAUAGUGUUGACAAAGAAAAGCAAUCCUCUGCGAAAUUUUGAACACAAAAACAGGAAAAUGAAAAAUUCAAAUGAAGAACAGGAAGAUAGAGAUGAUUUGGAAUAUCCUGUAACAACUCAAGCCGACAUUGAUGGAUGGUGGAAUGUGUCCUCAAACGACGAAGGGGAAGCCCACAACGAUGAAUCUGGAAGCAUUGAACUACAAGCGGACAUCAACAGUGAGAUGGGAACCAACCAGAAGCAAACUGAUCGGCAAUAAUGCUGUUAGAGUGCAAUUUAUGCACUAGUUUUGCAUUGUUUACUUCCCUUAAUAUCGAUGUUUUGCACUUAAUAAUAAUGUUUUACUUGUGUUUUACUUUUGUAGGUGCAAUUCUAUUGAUUGGUGAUAAAAUUGAGCUAAAAGAUGAUGUUUAAGGAGGAUUGUUCUCUUGGAGAAAUUAUGAGCGUCAGAAGAACUUUGUUGAUAAGGCGUGGACGCGUGCUGUCAACUGCGGACCUGCAGUUUUUAGUUUAACGUGUUUUGUAUUUUUGGUUAUUUUUGUAAUUACGAAUUUAAUAUUUCAGAUAUUAUUAUUUUAUUUUAAAUAGAAUUCUAAAAGAGAAGAGAGAGAGAGUAUUUAAGGGAGGAAUCUAUUGUGAAAAAAGGGGGGAAUUUUGGAUUAGAGAAAAAGAAAGAAACCCUAGAUUUAAUUUUUCUCUCCUCUCUAUGAAGAACUAAACCUAUUUUUCUGGUUGAAGGAUAAUGAAGCUUUGAUUCAUCACUACUGUGAGAUCUUUCUUGUGCUUUAAUUGUUUUAUUGCUUUUUGGGUAUUUGUUUAUUCUCUGAAUUAUUUUCAUGAUUAUGUUUGUUAAUUAGGUAAUUGGCCACUAUUUAAUUAUCAACUUAAUCUAUUGUCAAUUAAAGGAUUCAUCGUAUGAAGAAUUUAAUGUUUGUGACAAAUAACAUAGCAGAGAGUUGUGUUGUGAGAAUAAACAAUCUAAUUUAAAUGAAUCAUCAUAUGUGUUGAUUAGGAUUUGGGUCUCUCUGGUUUUUCAGGCUGUCAAUUGAUUAAAUCCUAUGAUCGUAUCUAGGGUUGUCCAUUGAUUAGGGAAAUAACCAACGGUCGUACCUUGGUUAUCGACUAGUUAAGGAGAGAUUGGCUAUUAGAGGGUCUCAAUAGCUAUAACCGGUCUAUUCAUAAGUAAUAAUAAUCUAUAUUUGAAUCAAUGAUCAGUAGUCGAAUCAAGCUGAGUUAAUUCCUUUAACAAGAGCUUUCUCCAAUUUGAAUUACAACUUUAAUUUGCAUUCUUGUUAUUUCAAUUUGAUUUUUAUUAUUGUCAACAAUUCCCCCAUUUUACGUUUUACGUUUCAAAAGGAUUUAAAUAAUUACCGAUCUCUGUGGACACGACCCUGCUCAAUCACUAUACACAAUUUAUUUAGAGUAGGAAUUUAUUUUUGUUGGCUUCGACACCCAUCAAAUUUUGGCGCCGUUGCCGGGGAUUGGUGUCAUUUAUUUAAUCCUUUUUACGUUUUACUUGGUGUAUGGUUCGUUCUUCUCGUACAGGUACACUUUCGUUUGAUCCUGAAAUUGAGAAGACAGCUCGCCAGCUGAGACAGCAGACGAAGCGAGCUAAACAACGAUCAUCGUCGCCUUUGCUUUCUGAAAUAGAUACAGUACCUGAUUUAGUUGAAUCAUCUAGCGAUUCAGAAGAACAAGUGAUGGAUAGACCUGCACCUGUAGAAAGAACUCUUAGAGAGUUAGCUGAACCAGACUUGAAUCAACAACCACUCUGCAUUAAAUAUGUAGAUUUGGAGGUAAAUUUUGAAUUAAAGUCUGGUCUUAUUCAUUUAUUACCCAAGUUUCAUGGUUUUGCAGGUGAAGAUCCUUAUAAACAUCUUAAGGAGUUUCAUGUUGUGUGCUCAAGUAUGAGGCCACAAGGCGUGACUGAAGAGCAUAUUAAGCUGCGUGCUUUUCCGUUCUCUGUAGAUGGGCUAGCUAAAGAUUGGUUAUACUACUUGCCUCCUGGAUCGAUUACAACGUGGAAUGGUUUGAAGAAGCAGUUCCUUGAGAAGUACUUUCCUGCUUCAAGAGCUGCCAACAUCAGAAAAGAUAUUUGUGGGAUCAGACAACUUCCUGGGGAGACUUUGUAUGAGUAUUGGGAGCGAUUCAAACAAUUGUGUGCCAGCUGUCCUCAGCAUCCAAGGUGUUAGAAUGUGGUUUAUUUUGGCCUACUUUAUUUCGUGAUUCAUAUAUGUUUUGUAAGUCGUGUGAGAGUUGUCAAAAGACUAGUAAUUUAAGUCAUAGAAAUCAAAUGCCACUUACCCCUAUUCUUGUAUGUGAAAUAUUCGAUGUGUGGGGCAUUGAUUUUAUGGGACCUUUUCCCUCAUCUUUUGGCAAUUCUUACAUUCUUUUAGCAGUGGAUUACGUUUCUAAGUGGGUAGAGGCUAAGGCCACCCGGACUGACAAUGCUAAAGUUGUUGUAGAUUUUGUCAAGUCUAAUAUUUUUGCCAGAUUUGGUGUACCGAGAGCGAUGAUAAGUGAUAGAGGCACUCAUUUCUGUAAUCGAGUGGUGGAAGCUCUGUUCAAAAGAUAUCAUGUUACCCACCGAGUGUCUACCGCCUAUCAUCCACAGACAAGUGGACAAGCUGAGAUAUCAAACAGAGAAAUCAAGUCUAUUCUUGAAAAGACAGUUAGUCCAAAUCGAAAGGAUUGGAGUUUGCGAUUAGAUGAUGCAUUAUGGGCGUAUCGCACCGCUUACAAAACUCCCAUAGGUAUGUCUCCUUAUCGUUUAGUAUUUGGUAAGCCUUGUCAUUUACCUGUAGAACUUGAGCACAGAGCAUACUGGGCGGUUAAGCAAUGCAAUAUGCGGAUGGAUGAAGCAGGAAAGCAGAGGAAGUUGCAGCUGCAAGAGUUGGAGGAGAUUAGAAAUGAAUCCUACGAGAGUUCGCGAUUUUACAAGGAAAAGACGAAGACAUUUCAUGACAGAAUGAUUUUGAGAAAGGAGUUCUCUGUUGGUCAAAAAGUUCUUCUCUUUCACUCUAAACUUAAACUUUUUCCUGGUAAAUUACGUUCUCGUUGGGUAGGACCUUUUAUUGUUACUAAUGUUUUUCCUCAUGGUGCAGUUGAGAUUCGGAGUCCAAUCUCUAAUAAAGCCUUUAAGGUUAAUGGUCAUCGUUUAAAACCUUUUUACGAAGGUUUUUCGGUGAAUAUUGUGGAGGAAUUGGCUCUCGAGAAUCCUAUUUAUGGAGAUUGAUACAUACAUGUGUCUAGCCAAAGACAUAAAACAAAGGCGCUUUUUGGGAGGCAACCUAAAUGAUUUGAUUAUUUUGGUUUUUGUUUUAUCUUCUUUAAAAAAAAAUGAAAAAUGAAAAAAAACGAGUUUGCUUAUUUUGGUCAGAAGAAAAUUUUUGAUAAGGCGUGCCCACGUCUUAGCUAAUAAGUACUUCUGUAAUUUUUAAUGUCUCAAAGUUUUAAGGCGUGCCCACGUACUUAUUAGAAAAGUACUUCUGAAAUUUAAUGUGUUUGCUUAUUUUGGUCAGAAGAAAUUUUUUUUUUAAGGCUUGCCCACGUACUUAUUGCCCACGUACUUAUUAGAAAAGUACUUCUGAAAUUUAAUGUGUUUGCUUAUUUUGGUCAGAAGAAAAUUUUUGAUAAGGCGUGCCCACGUACUUAUUAGAAAAGUACUUCUGAAAUUUUUAGUGUCUCAAAGUGAUUCAUCACAAAAAAAAAAAAAACCAAAAAUCGAAAAUCACUGUUCACAAAUCCCUAAUUCAAAAAUUACUGUUGAUUAUCGUUUUACAGCAGCAUCAGCCCCAGCCGCAACCAGCAGCAUCAGCUCCAGCCUUCACCGCGCAACCAGCAGCAGCAGACGAGUACGCCCAGAACCAGAAGCAAGCCCCAACUCGCGCAACAAACUCCAGCCGAGCAGCAAGCACAACACAACCAGCCUACGCCCUGUAUUCCAGCCGGGUAAAUCGAAAUCCGUGAGUGCAAUUAUUGUAACAAUGCCGAAGAGGAAAGCAUCUACUUCCAAGUCGUCGAAAAAGACACCCGUCGCAAAGAAAUCUAAGAUUGCCGCUCCCACUACGGUUCCAUGGAACAUAAUUUCAGAUUCACGCCAAGCCGUGAGACAAAGAUCGAAGCAUGGAAAAGGCAUGAGUGUUUUGCCAAUUGCGGAAUCCAAUCUCGGAGGGUGCCUCGCAUUCGCGACUCAACAAUAGAAAGAGAGGUACAAAGAUAUUUCCACGCGCAAAAUACUUCCAGCUAAGUAUAUUCAUUACCCGACUCUUGAAAAAUUAAAUGUUAAAGAUAAUUUUGAUUCUUUGAUAGAUAAGAUUGGGUUGCGUAAGUUUGUUGAUUUUGAUUGCUUGGGUUAUGUUGAGUUGAUUAGGGAGUUUUAUGCUACUUUUCAAUUCACUAUGCCGAAUGAUUUUACUUUGCAUACCCCGGAUGUCAUUAAGUUUAGGUUAAUGGGACGAAAUUUUUCACACUCUAUCACGGAUUUUAACCUAGCUUUAGGAUUCAUUGAUGAUGAUUAUUCUACUAGUGAUGAAUAUUUAGGAACAACUUGUGACUUUAGCAAAAAUUUUGAGCCUUAUGGUCUUUGGUGUAAUUUAUCUGUUGAUCACAAUGCCUAUGACCCGAGUAAAUCAAAGAGUUCUUUCUUACGUGAUCCUGUUUUGAAAUUUGUGCAUCGAUUCUUAGCAUAUAAUUUUUUAGGCAAGAAAGAUCACUCAGGAAUUUUCUCUAAAACUGAAUUUUAUUUUAUCUGGUGCAUGUUAAAUGAUGUGAGGCCUAAUUUAGGUUUUUGGUUAGCGGAUCAAUUUCAAAGUGUGCUUAAACGGUAUAGGACUUUAUUUCUUGGUCCAUACAUUACUCUGUUAGCUAUAAACCUAUGUGUGCUUGAUCCUGACAAUAAUGAUUUGCAUCCUGCUUGCAAAAAGUAAUUUUUGGAUAUGUCUGUGUUUGAAAGAACAGGUGUGGUCGAAUUCAAGGAGGGGAGAUUUCAGUUUACUGAACCAGGACCCACUCAACUUCCGAAGAAGCUUUAUGCUAGGAGUGGUGCUACCUCUGAUGACGAGUUUGACGACGACACUGUUGCCCCGCCAACUAUUCCUUCUACAUCCGCACCACCUUUGAGCAUUCAGUUAGAGAAAAUGGAGCACAAGUUGAACAAAAUGGAGCAGAAUUUGGCCGCAUACUUCGAGAGUGUGGGAUUUACCCCACCAUUUCCGCCAAGCCCAUAGACGUUAUGUGGAUCAAAGCUCACAAUUCAGGGAAGUUUCUUUUUGCCCUUAAACUUUUAUCCUUACGCUUUAAUUUUUAUGUGAGCUUUGAUUAUCUUACAUUGGGGACAAUGUAAGUUCUUGGUGUGGGGGAGGGAUUUUUGCAUUAUUGAUGUCUGGAAGUAGUAUUUUCACUCUACUCAUUUAUUUUCACUCUACUCAUCCUUAAAUGAUUUUGGAGUUAGUAUGCUUUAUAUAUUAUUAUUUUAUCUUUUCUUUUCUUUCUCACUACUUUUUUUUUCCCCAUCUAUCUCAAAUUAUUUACAUCUAUUUUUUUUCCUAUCAUACUCUUUCAUCACUCACAUUUUAUCUUUCAUUUUUUUUUACUACAUACAUCUUUCUCGCUUAUUAUCAUUUUUACCUUUCCUUUUAUAUCUCAUUCAUACCUUCAUCUCAUUCUACACCACUAUUGAUGAUUGAUUCAUUUGAAGAGUGUACAUGAUUUGAUGGCAAAUUUACCAACUUUGUGAGGAUUUGAGCCUAUGAGCAACCACUUUGCUCUAAUUAUUUUUGUUAUGUGAAUAUCAAUCCUAGUUUGUUUAUUCUAGAACUUGCUUUAUUAUGCAUGUUGAAGCCACAUUACGGGAUUUUAUGCAUUAAAAUGAUAAGGGCAAACCAUUUACCAUUUUUCUAUUCUCGCAUUUUCCUUUUUCUUUACCAGAAGACCUUUAUUUGCUACCUUUGUUUGAGCCUUAACCAUUACCUAUCUAAUUCUCUCCGUCUACUUAACCAUUUUUCUUCUUUUUGAGCCUCAAUUUAAGGAGAUUUUUGGACUCAUUGUAUGGAUAUAUUUUGUUGCUUUUUCUACCUUGUAUUAAAGUUUCUCAAUUAGAUCAACAAGCAUUAUGCUUGAAUUCAAUUGUGCAAGGUUCGUUUCUUUUGUUUGAUUCGAAAAAAAAAACAAACAAAAAAAAAGAAAAAAAAAAGAAAAAAAAAGAAAAAAGAAAAGGAAAAAGAAAAAAAAAGAAAAAAAAAAGAAAAAAAAAGUGUUUACAUUCUUGGUGACUUGAGUAGAAAUAAGCAUUUUGAUAUCAUAAGUUCAUUCUUCUCGUUUUGAUCUCUUUUUCUUUCGUAAACCUUUCUUUUUCAUUUAACCCCAUUACAACCCUUUUAAGACCCUUAGAUUUUUGCAUUUUAUUCAUGUUUUGUGGAUUGAGAUGUGAUAUAUAAGCAAGCUUAUGGUAAUAGCAUUCUUUGAUUUGAUUUGAGUGCAUAGAUGAUACCCUAAACACUUUGAGUGCAUGGAGUGAAGUCAUUGAGAGGGCUAUUAAAUCUUGUUGCACUUGAAUUUUGAAUGGAUCUUCUUGGUGGUUAAAUGUUCUUAUUCUAUCUUAUGAGAUUCUAUGCUUUAAAAGUCCUUGUCUCUCGAAUGUUGAUCGACUUAAUUUCUUGAGGUAUGCUUGCUUAAAAUUAUUUUUGGAUGAGUUGAGAUGAGAAUUGAGUGGAGAUUUGGGAUUAAUCUUGAGUUAUAUGCUUGAGGACAAGCAUCAUCUUGGUGUGGGGGAAUUUGUUAGAGUGCAAUUUAUGCACUAGUUUUGCAUUGUUUACUUCCCUUAAUAUCGAUAUUUUGCACUUAAUAAUAAUGUUUUACUUGUGUUUUACUUUUGUAGGUGCAAUUCUAUUGAUUGGUGAUAAAAUUGAGCUAAAAGAUGAUGUUUAAGGAGGAUUGUUCUCUUGGAGAAAUUAUGAGCGUCAGAAGAACUUUGUUGAUAAGGCGUGGGCGCGUGCUGUCAACUGCGGACCUGCAGUUUUUAGUUUAACGUGUUUUGUAUUUUUGGUUAUUUUUGUAAUUAUGAAUUUAAUAUUUCAGAUAUUAGUAUUUUAUUUUAAAUAGAAUUCUAAAAGAGAAGAGAGAGAGAGUAUUUAAGGGAGGAAUCUAUUGUGAAAAAAGGGGGGAAUUUUGGGUUGGAGAAAAAGAAAGAAACCCUAGAUUUAAUUUUUCUCUCCUCUCUAUGAAGAACUAAACCUAUUUUUCUGGUUGAAGGAUAAUGAAGCUUUGAUUCAUCACUACUGUGAGAUCUUUCUUGUGCUUUAAUUGUUUUAUUGCUUUUUGGGUAUUUGUUUAUUCUCUGAAUUAUUUUCAUGAUUAUGUUUGUUAAUUAGGUAAUUGGCCACUAUUUAAUUAUCAACUUAAUCUAUUGUCAAUUAAAGGAUUCAUCGUAUGAAGAAUUUAAUGUUUGUGACAAAUAACAUAGCAGAGAGUUGUGUUGUGAGAAUAAACAAUCUAAUUUAAAUGAAUCAUCAUAUGUGUUGAUUAGGAUUUGAUCUCUCUGGUUUUUCAGGCUGUCAAUUGAUUAAAUCCUAUGAUCGUAUCUAGGGUUGUCCAUUGAUUAGGGAAAUAACCAACGGUCGUACCUUGGUUAUUGACUAGUUAAGGAGAGAUUGGCCAUUAGAGGGUCUCAAUAGCUAUAACCGGUCUAUUCAUAAGUAAUAAUAAUCUAUAUUUGAAUCAAUGAUCAGUAGUCGAAUCAAGCCGAGUUAAUUCCUUCAACCAGAGCUUUCUCCAAUUUGAAUUACAACUUUAAUUUGCAUUCUUGUUAUUUCAAUUUGAUUUUUAUUAUUGUCAACGAUUCCCCCAUUUUACGUUUUACGUUUCAAAAGGAUUUAAAUAAUUACCGAUCUCUGUGGACACGACCCUGCUCAAUCACUAUACACAAUUUAUUUAGAGUAGGAAUUUAUUUUUGUUGGCUUCGACACCCAUCAAAUGCACAGAGAGGGACGAAAAUGAUGUGCUUGCCAUGACA
rnacentral:lncRNA from 1 species